UACUCUAAAGCACCACUGUUCUUCCUUCCCCC
rnacentral:piRNA from 1 species